AUAAAGAGUUGGAGAAAAGAUGAAAAUAAUUAUUCAUCUUCUUCUCCUUCAAGCAAACAGGUGAUAGAAAGACAAGGAAGGUGAAGGUGGCUGUUGGAGGCAUGAAAGAGCUCCAUCCUGGGAUUCUAGCAACAAGAGCACACAUGUUCAUGGAAAAUGGAAAAAGGCUCAGACUAAGUUAGUAAGCUCGAAUUUAGGAAAUUAAGGUGAGUACCCCUCGAACUCCGAAUUGUUUCAUGAUUUUCAUAAUCUCAAUGCCUUGCUUGUACGUGGACACUCGGUCUAAGAUUCGGGUGGUAAUUCUUAAGAGCCUUUUUUUAUGAUAAAUUGAUUGGUGGAACUAUUUGGAACAUGCUUAGUUUUCCUUUUUUGAUAAUUUCACUGGUGGAAUUAAGUGUUGGAAACUAGAUUUUAGGUUGCAAGCCAGAUGUUAGGUUUCAACAACCUAGAUUUUAGGUUGAAACCCAGAUUUAAGGUUAUAACUGGAUUUUUAACUUGUAACUUGUUUUUAGGUUGUAAAUCGGAUUUCUAAGUUGGAAACCUGAUUUUUGGUUGAAACCCUGUUUUUAAGUCAGAAAUAUAUGUUAUGACUUUUGCUAUAUAAUCUUGGGCAUUUCUUAAUUAGGUACAUUUCUGGAAUAACAUGAGACAAAAGAGUAAGAAUACUCAUUUAAGAAUAAAAGUGAUUGGAAAACCCUAUGCGUUGAAAGAUUAAAAUACACUUACGUGUGAAAGGGAUUAAUUGGCGAAAGUCCUGAGAUACCUUAAAGGUGAGAUAAUUAAAGUAUUAAUGAUACGAUCAACGAACAAAAGGUUUUAAGUCGUAAAUUACAUGGAAUAGUCUUAUAAAUGGGUAAAGUACUCGUUGGAGAUGAAAAUGACCAAAUGUCCUUGUGUACCUAAAUGAUCAGAACAUAAUGGUUUAAUGAGCUGGUAAAUGUCUGAUGAACUUUACAAAUGAUUAAAAGGUAUAUUUCUGUUAUGCAUAAAUGAUUGUCAUGUUUCAUGACUUAAUGCACGAUGUUAGGGAGUCUUGAGGUAAGUUGUCAUGUUUAUUCCUAUUAAUGGUUGAUUAUACUAAUGUAAGUGCAUUGCAUCC